rnacentral:rRNA from 1 species
UACGUAGGUGACAAGCGUUGUCCGGAUUUACUGGGCGUAAAGAGCGCGCAGGCGGUCGUUCAAGUCGAGUGUGAAAGCCCCCGGCUCAACUGGGGAGGGUCAUUCGAUACUGAUCGACUCGAAGGCAGGAGAGGGUAGUGGAAUUCCCGGUGUAGUGGUGAAAUGCGUAGAUAUCGGGAGGAACACCAGUGGCGAAGGCGGCUCACUGGUCCAUUACUGACGCUGAGGUGCGAAAGCGUGGGGGGCAAACAGG